rnacentral:rRNA from 1 species
UACGUAGGGGGCGAGCGUUGUCCGGAGUUACUGGGCGUAAAGCGCACGCAGGCGGUCUGUCGCGUCGGCUGUGAAAACCCGGAGCUCAACUCCGGGCCUGCAGUCGAUACGGGCAGACUGGAGUUCGGCAGGGGAGACUGGAAUUCCUGGUGUAGCGGUGAAAUGCGCAGAUAUCAGGAGGAACACCGGUGGCGAAGGCGGGUCUCUGGGCCGAUACUGACGCUGAGGAGCGAAAGCGUGGGGAGCGAACAGG